rnacentral:rRNA from 1 species
UACAGAGGGUGCGAGCGUUAAUCGGAAUUACUGGGCGUAAAGCGCGCGUAGGCGGCUUUGCAAGUCGGGUGUGAAAUCCCCAGGCUUAACCUGGGAACUGCAUUCGAGACUGCAUUGCUAGAGUAUGGGAGAGGGAAGUGGAAUUUCCGGUGUAGCGGUGAAAUGCGUAGAUAUCGGAAGGAACAUCAGUGGCGAAAGCGACUUCCUGGACCAAUACUGACACUCAUGUGCGAAAGCGUGGGGAGCAAACAGG